UUCGGUGGGGAUUAGUGGCGAACGGGUGAGUAACACGUGGGCAAUCUGCCCUUCACUCUGGGACAAGCCCUGGAAACGGGGUCUAAUACCGGAUACUGACCCUCGCAGGCAUCUGCGAGGUUCGAAAGCUCCGGCGGUGAAGGAUGAGCCCGCGGCCUAUCAGCUUGUUGGUGAGGUAAUGGCUCACCAAGGCGACGACGGGUAGCCGGCCUGAGAGGGCGACCGGCCACACUGGGACUGAGACACGGCCCAGACUCCUACGGGAGGCAGCAGUGGGGAAUAUUGCACAAUGGGCGAAAGCCUGAUGCAGCGACGCCGCGUGAGGGAUGACGGCCUUCGGGUUGUAAACCUCUUUCAGCAGGGAAGAAGCGAAAGUGACGGUACCUGCAGAAGAAGCGCCGGCUAACUACGUGCCAGCAGCCGCGGUAAUACGUAGGGCGCAAGCGUUGUCCGGAAUUAUUGGGCGUAAAGAGCUCGUAGGCGGCUUGUCACGUCGGUUGUGAAAGCCCGGGGCUUAACCCCGGGUCUGCAGUCGAUACGGGCAGGCUAGAGUUCGGUAGGGGAGAUCGGAAUUCCUGGUGUAGCGGUGAAAUGCGCAGAUAUCAGGAGGAACACCGGUGGCGAAGGCGGAUCUCUGGGCCGAUACUGACGCUGAGGAGCGAAAGCGUGGGGAGCGAAC
rnacentral:rRNA from 1 species